CGCGGGUUUUGCCGCUGCCAGGCUCAUGACCCCCCGGUGCUCCUUUUCCAGCCACACGCUUUCUGCUGGGCACGGCUCCUGCCAUGCUGCCAACCUGCCGGGGCCGCAGCGCCUUCCACUCCGUGGGAGAUGAGCGUGCUCUCGCCGGAAAAUACUUCUGGCGAUUGAGGACUCGGUGGAGAGUCAGGGGACAGCUUUCUGUGCCCUCUGCUGCUCAGGGAACCUGGCUAGGAGACCAAGCUUAGUAGAAGCCCUGGAACCCUGUGUAAACUUGGAAAUGAGAAAGUGUUUCAUGAGUUUUUGGGACCCACCUGCUGAGGAUCCCAGAAAUAGCUGUGAACUUGCAUAGGAAGGAGGAACACAGUACAGCAUUUCUCUGCUUAGCAUGGCUUGAAACUCUUCCACAGAAUAAGAGAACUGAAUUCAAGCCUUAAACAUCCUGCACAGAGAGCUCAUCAAGCUGCCCAUGGAACCACAGUCUGUUAGGGGGAGAUCUGACACUGCAACCAUCGUGUUUGUUUAAACAACCAUGUGUAAAGGCAUCACACCAGUGGUGGGGCUUGGCCCUGUCACUGCUCCCUAGACCUGCUUUUAGAGCUUCUGAUGGAUCUGCUGUUUGCAGAUCUGGGGGAUGCUCCAUCAUCGUGACUCCAGCUGGACUUAGAAGCAUCUUGAUUGCUCAGCUCUGAAGUGCUUCUCAACAGAACAUACCGAACGUGAAGGCAAAAACCAGCAGUGAGAUGAGAUGCAACUUUAGACAGCAGGCUAGCAUUUCAGAGACACUUUUUAGUUGUCUGCAUAAGCUCCAUUUUGGAGGCUCUCAUGGUCAUUAUUAGAUCUGGCACAGUGUUGACAGACUGGGAGGCUGAAGCUUUUGGUUUGCCUAGAAAAUACCUGGACAGCUGUCUCCCUCCCAAGCUGCACCAACCUGACCCUGGGACAACUCUCAGAUAGCUUUCAUUACUUACUCUUGAGGUUUCCUGAAAUUUCCCAGGAAAGGCUUGGCUCUUGCCUGUGGGUGGGGAGAAGGGGAUAGGUGUUAGGGUCAAAAUUCCAGUGCCUGAAAUCACCUGUUCGUUUCGUUUUCACUCCUUAACAGCAUUUCACUCCUGAACAGCAAUACACCAUACCAAACUUGUCUUUCUUUCUUUCUAUGUGGCAAUGAAGAAGCAUCAUCAAUAGGACGCUAAAAGAAAACCUCCAGACUAUUUCUGCACUAUAUUCCCCCUUGAAGUGCUACCUAAGCAGUCUAGUUGCUUUGGCACACUAUCAGUUUGACCCAUCUUUUCCUUGGGGUGGUUGAUGCAUUGUCAUUUCUGCAUAAUAUGAAACUGUAGCAUGCAGCUACAUGGUGCUGUAAACCUGGAUUAGUGUCUCAGUGUCACUGUCAGUGAUUUAAACGGAGAACAAAUCCAUACAGAUCAAAGGAAAUUUUAUUACAUCAAACCAGGCAGGGAUUGUAAUGUUCUGUAUUGGAAAUGCUUGUGUUCUCUU